CUCUACAAGUCAGUGCAUUCACAGAUUUUUACAUUACCGAAAGAGACAUUGCUAUAUCCAGCUCAUGACUACAAAGGAUUCUCAGUAACCACUGUGGGAGAGGAGAUGCUAUAUAAUCCACGCUUGACAAAGGAUAAGGAGACUUUCAAAAACAUCAUGGAAAAUCUUAACUUGGCAUAACCUAAGAUGAUUGAUGUUGCAGCGCCAGCAAAUAUGGUUUGUGGGUUGCAAGAUUUGGAACCUAAAGCCAACUGAGGCUUUGCUGGAUCAUCCAUAAGUGUGCAUAGAUUUUAGUUGUAUUAUAAUUCUGGAUCUUAAUAUCACUGGAUAUGCUAAAUAAAAUGGCUAGAGAAGCCACGUGAUUGCAAGGAAUCCAUAAAUUAUAUAUAUACUAUAUCAUAUUGUAAUCAUGUAAUAUUGUCGUCUUUCUAUCUGCAUAGAAAUAAUCUUUACGUUGUAAUCAUGCUAAAUAACAUCGGAAACUGAUUUGUCUUUGAUUCUUUACAUUGCAGAAAUAAUCUUUAUAGUGGGGUGGGGUUUAGAGGGUUGGAAAAAGAAGAAAGAUUUGAGUUUGAGGUGGAGGUGGAGGUGGAGGUGUUAGAGCAGAACUUAGAUCUUUACCACAAAUUUUGACAAAUGGAAAAUACAUUAUUAUUUUGAAUACAUAUUAGUAAU